rnacentral:tRNA from 1 species
GCAAUUGACGGUUCUAACAUCUUCACAGAGUGGUAUAAUUUUCCCUUAGCAUGGGAAAGGUCCUGGGUUCGAUUCCCAGAUUGUCCA